UGGCUGGGGUCAUCUCACCCCAGCGCUCUUUCCUGCCUAGGCAGGAGGUCAGACUCAGUGAUGUGUUGAGGUACCUUCCGACCCUAACAGCUAUUAAUUUUGUGUGCCAGUGGGCUGGCAUUCUGAUGAUGGGGAACUACAAAAAAACACCCAUGGAGAAAACUUCUAAAAGAGAAACAGAUGCCACAGCCAAGUUCACCCCUUUUGACUGGUGGGAGAGAUUGAGAUUCUUUUCCCAUCGUGAAAUUCAGGCCUCGCUUUGGUAUUGAAUUGAAUUGCCCUCGACAGAACUAAAAUGUGUUAAGUUUUGAGGAAACCUUGCUUUGCCAGCUGAAACAUUGCUUUGCACGUACUAAAUGGUUCCCAUCCUUCAUGCAAAGGUCACAGCGUUAUGCUCUUUAAGUUACUCUGGCUAUAUUCUGACUGUUUUCACUAGGCCACUUAACUCCCUUGGGACCAGCUAAUAAGGCUAAUGAUGAAGCCAGCCAUGUUUGUCAGUGCUUGCUUUACAAUCUUCUUCUACAGACCCCAUCACUAUAGUAACUGAGUACCUUGCGUGAAUUAAUUCAGCCAGUGAGAUGAAGUAUUAUUCCUGUUUACAGCUGGAGAACACAAGUGCUGAGUAGCUGCACUUGCACGGGAGGUUGUAGUAGGUGUGGAAUUUGCAGUCAGAUCUCGAGUCCCAGCCCAGUCACAAAGUGGUCAUUUCUCCCCAUCUCCCUGGGUUCAGAUCUUUGUGUCCUAGGUGACUGAGCACAGAGUGGAAAGGUCAGCGCAGGGGAAGGAGGCCAAGAUUGUGCGACUAUAAUUCAGUGGAAUAUGUUGCAAAAUAGGCACCAAACCAGUGUAAAAUCUCUCUUCCCAUGUCCGCUCUUGUUGCUAAUUUCUCAGAGCUUCUGUCUGAGGAGAGCCAAGGGAAGUUAAAGUGCAGUAACCUCCUUACCAUCAUCUUGAAGUAGGGGAAGGACACGUCUCCUGCGCUUCUGCUGCUCACAUUUGUGACGAGAUAUUUGCGCUUGUCUUUGACAACUUCAUUUGUGUGCUUGUUCUGAUUCUUGAUCUUGUCCAAGGUUCUUCAGCCCCGAUCAAAAGGGUAUCCUACCACGCAGUGACAGGAGCAGGCUCGGAAAAAUCCUUGGUGUAUUCACCCUCCUUGGAUCCUGUAACAUUAAAGGCAUCUCCUGAAAGGAUUGUGAAGAUUGAAAUGUUCGAGCAGGUGGGCUGCAAUACCAUUUUGAAGCCUCGUUGACUUCCAGUGGUUCUUUCAUGGAAGGUAACCUUAAGUGGUGGGCUUGGUCUGUGCAGGUAGAUGUUGAAAAGGUUUAAACCAGGGGUGUCCAACCCUUUUGAAUGUGGGGCCGGAUCAUGAACUUCUUAUCACCCAGUGUGCCGGCGAGCCAUAUCCAAACACCUCACAGGAAGCGGUAUCACAUCACCCCCCCGAAACAAAAGUACAGUGUUUACUUUCCUUUCCCAUUGCAGCACCUCGGGCCUCAGAAAGCGGCUUGGUGGGCCGCAUGGCAGCCUGCGGGCCGUAUGUUGGACAAGCCUGGUUUAAACAGAGGAUAUUUUAAAAUGAGUAGUGAUUACUGCUGAUAAUCCAUGCUUCACUAAUACCAAGGGGAUCCCAAGGCAUUUGACAGACUGGGCCACAGCCUCCAUUCCUUGCAGAUGCAAAGCUCCCAUGGAUUUCUCUGAAUGUUUCUGCUGGCAAGGAAUACAGUAUGAAGAGCUAUUUGUGUACUGUGGCCCAAGAAUACAUCCAUCUCUGAUGCGGGAUGGCAGCAGCCACCCAGCCCUCAACAGUGCAGGGAGGAGAAUUGGGGGUAGAAAUUCCAGGGCAAUACUUUUCUCUGGGGAAAGAUACAGAAGGAUCUUAAAUGCUUCAGUGGAGCAGAAGGGCCCUGCACCUAGCACUAUUCAACUUGGCUGUGCCUCAAGGCUGAGAUUUCAAAGCCAUCUCAGAUGUUUGGAUGACCAGGUCCCAUUUGGUUUGGUUCAGCUGGACCAGCUGUAGUCUAGAAAGCUUUACUCUGCAUGCACAGUGGAGGAAAAUGAGUCAGGCUUACAUCGGGCUAAAUUGGCAUGUGCUGAGCUAAAGCUAUUCUGAACUUGAUCACUUCUAGUCAAAGUGAACCCCAGGAGGCCCUAAAAUCAUCAUGUCUUUCCCACCUCUGGAGUUUCCAUUCCUCUUAGAGAUGUGUAACGCUUUGCCAAAGGAGGAGGAAGAGGACUUUUGCUACUAAGCAUGUUGCUCCUACUCUAGGCUAAGUUUAGGGCUCUGGUCUCAAGGGUUUUGAGUUGGCAUCUACCACUGAACACCCUGACAACUCAUUUUCUUUUUUCAGUGACAUAAUUGGUGGGUUUUUAAGCAAUCUGAUUGUGAUCAGCAUGGUGUAAUGAGUUCUCUAACCCCUUGUCCUUGUAGCUGUGGGGAAGGUUGCAUUUCCUACAAGCUGUGUAAUGGGUUAUUAAGCAUUACAACUGCACCUACAGUGCAAUACUGAAUAGCAAUAGUAAAUAGAACUGUAACACCUGGCUGCUCCAGUUGCUCUGCACUAUUGAAAGGUUUAUAUCUUUGUGCCAGUCUGGUAAUAUACGAGUGAUAGAUCCUUGUGGGUUCUCUCAAGGCAGAGGUGAGGCUCAAAUGAUGGAGCUGUCCUUUUAUUUGUGGAUGGAUCCUGUGGUCCCCUAUGCUGCAUGUUCUCUCACAGCGGUUCUGUCAACCUUUUUUGUACCAGGACCCAUUUAUAAAUAUUGAAGGCGAGCCCUGACCCCAUGCCUCACUCCUAACCUGCUGCUCCCUGUCCCCAGGCCCCAACCCCUCAGUGUGUGGGGUGGGGGAGGACUGGGGGGGUCUCAAGCAGACCCUUGCAGUCUGAAACUCUGCCAAACUGCAAGGGAAAAGCCAUGGUUUCCCACAUUUUUCUCUUUUUAAAGGAGAAUCCAUUUUUAAAGUUUGUUUGUGCCCUCUUCACAUAUUCUUGUGUCCCACUUUUGGGUCACAACCCAAGGGUUGAAAAACACUGCUCUACCAGUCUCCCAGAGAGCAAGCUGAAUUUUGACAGUGACAGCUGUUCUUAGGAGGUCUUUUGGGAAGUGGGUUUAGAAGAAAUGAGGCUGGACCGUGUGUAGGAAGUAUUAGGCUGGCAUUUAAUUUGGAGGCAUGUCAAUGUGAAAUGAGAGUUGAUGAAACGCACAAGGGAUGAUGGUGUGGCCCAGCAAGCUACUAUGCUCUUGAGUAGCUGGCUGUGAAACAAGGUUUGUGAACAGGGUAAGUGUGUGUGCAUGCACGUGUAUGCAGGGAGGGCUAUUUGGUUGUCUCUGCACUCUGCCUAUUUGUUCACCCAUGGUAGAGGCAGGAUCUUCCCUACUGUAAGCCCAUGUUCCUCCUUUACCGGGGGUGUGGCACCUGCUGACUCUGCUCUGCCAAUAAAGUAAUUGGAACUGAGUUGAAGUCCUGACCAUGUUCAAAGGGAGCAGGAUUCCUGCCUAAGGAGAAAAAAAUACUAGUGGUAUAACAGUGAGAGUCCAGGGAACAAGUGAGAACGAAGCAUGACUCCUGAGGUGAGGUCCUAUCUUUUCAUGGACUGACUUUAUCGUUGGGAGAGGAGUUGGACAAGCUUUUGGUAAAGGCAGAUCCCAGUCUUUAAGCAAAGACUCUUUGGAGAAGAUUAGAGCCUUGAAGAACUGCUGGAGCACUGGUGCCCAGCGAGGGGGCCUGUCCACCAAGAAAUCUGUUGGCAAUUUCCUUCCUUAACAUCUUUCUCCCUCAUGCCUCAGGCACAUUUCAGGGACAAGAAGCACCAGCAUAUACCUUGCACUCAUUGCUGGAUGAGGCAGAGAUGAAUGAAGCAGUCAAAAGUGUGGUAAGGUCAUGCGGGACUUGGAGGUGAGCUGAGUCUUGGACACCCAGGUCCGGGGCCAUGUUUCUACUUCCUGGCAGUACUCCUGAGCCUCAGCCUCUCACACACCACAGCUAGAGGGGCUGCCCAGUCCUGAAGGGCUCUGUGUUUCUAAAUACAGGGCACUCUGGGGUGCGCCAUUAGGGGGAGAGAGUGCUGAUGUACCAGGUCAUACGCAGGUGUGGAUAUGCACUCCCCCAGAUGGAUCAGAGUUUGAACUGGGGCUGGAGAAGCGUGUUCUCUCCUUGACUCCAGCUCUGCCUCUACAGUUGUGUUUCUCAGUGGACCUCGUGACUGGUAAGGAAGUCACAAUGUCUUUGUCAUCUGAAGGGACACCCUGAGUGGGCCGGGUGACCUAACAACAGGGGCGCCUUACCUCUGGGAUGUACAAGGAGAGAAGCAGAACCUGAAUAGAUGCAUGUAACAAAGCUGUUUUCAUUGCAGGUACAGCUGGGAUGUCAAAGCACCCACUUGAGGCUGCCAUUCCCUGCCCUACUAGUAAACACAUUAGUGCUGGGGACCCUCUGUUCCCUGGGCACAAAGGCAGGAACACCCACAACGAGUUCAUUAAUUCACCUGACCAGGCCUGGCUGCAGCCAGUCAGUUCCCAGGAACUUGCGUGGUUCCUACUUAACUCUGUACCAAGCAAAUGAUAAUGUAAGACUCGGUAGCUGAUACUCUCUGGGUUGGACCCAAUUCAGACCUCGUACAUGGGGUGCUGGCUUCUAAUCAGCUGCAAUGUCACCAAAGCAGAAGGAGCUGCAGUCCCUUUUGACCCAGCACUCACCUGCCUCCGUGCUUGUCUUUGCAAGGUCUCCCUGUGCCCUCUGAUUAGCAUUUUAGCUUCUCUGUUUAUUCUGGAGAGCUGAGUGGCACUGGCAUGUAUCUUGCUAAGCAGAGCUCUUCGGCCAGUUAUUUUUUGGCCACCCUCCUGUCUGUGAUACUGUUGUUUUUCCCUGCUUUUGUUAGGCUGCACCUGCUUGAUGUCUCUAUAACAGCAGCUUUUUGACAUGUGGUCUUUGUGAAGCACCUUGUAGACCCCUGGGUUAAACUCUGUGGUGUUGGUGGUAGCAACUUGUGCUGCUAUGUAGGCAUGGUCUGUGUUGUGGGGGCAGGAAGGGUGGGAUGGGGAGCUUGGAUGGUUAGCCAAGCUCAGCUUCUCUCUGCAUGAUUGCCUCAUGCUGCAAAGAAAGAGACAAGGAGAGGAGAGCAAGAGAAAUGCUUGCUCUGACAUCUAGGGCACCUAUACACAUGCAGCAAGGCUGCUCUAACAUGCUGUAAUUACAAUGUAUCCGAGCAUACUUGAUUAAUUGAGUCUGCUGGAGUGUGGUAAUUACUGCGCUCCAGUAGACUCCACCGUCAUGUUUGACGAGCUUUACUUAAAGCACCCCCAUUGCCGUUUUUCAGCAUGGGGAUGCUGAUGCAUGAGACGCUCUGAGAGCCACUCUAAUUAAAGCACCCCCCCCCCCCCCAUCACUGCUGGAGCGCAUGUAUAAAUGCCCUAUGAGCCCCAAUAAUGGGUUGGUUAAUCUGGACCUGGCCAUCAUGAAUCUCUGGGGAAAAAAUGUUUUGCAGUAGCCUCAGAGGUGAUCUUUAAUGAGGUGAAAUGGAUUUAUGGCCAAUUUGUUUUUUCUGAUUUAAAAAAAAAAAAAGGCAGGACUGACUGCACUAGGAGAAUGAGGCCGUGUGGUUUUUAAGGCUUAUUUUUUUUUUAAGUUUCAGAAACUGUUGCAUCUGCUCUUCCCUGCAGGACUUCUGGAGUGGGCAGCAUCAAAGGGAAAGUAAGUGCUAAGCAUCUAAAAGCUUGCGUGUCCUAAAGCACUGUCUAAUCCAUUAACUUGUAGCACUCCAUCAUGUCUGAUGAACUCUUAUGGUGAUAUCAGGGGCCAUGGCCUUUCAGGUUGGGAGUGCUAGACUGGUGGAUGAGCACGUGGCCUCCAGUUUCUAGGAUAAGUCCCAUGGACAAGGGGCAAGACUGCCCUGAAGACCAAAACAAGAGGUGCUGUGUCCCUCCCUCGUGAGCAGCUGCAAGAAAAGGUGGGUUGUGUAUAUCUUAUUCUGUGUUUUUUGUCCUGGCCUCUUACCAUGUGAUUUGCACCAUGCCAGCUUCCCACAGGCCUGUUGGGGCAAAUUCCAAGGUGCGUAAAGACAGGGUGUAAAUUCUAACUUGGUCAUGCGAGGUGAAUAGUGUGGCAUAGGCUUCUUCUCAGUUACUGAGACUAAACAAUGUCAAGCCUUGUUCCUAUCAGAAGGGCUAGAGGGGACUGAGAGAUGGAGAGCUGUUCUAGCUUCUGUGCUCUGAUACCAUGAGGAUGGGCAGCAGGUACAAAAACUUCAGGAAGACAGAAGGUUGUUGAUGGCAAGUGAUGCCUUGUCCCAUGGAAGGAGCUGUCUUCCAGACACCAAAGCCAUUGAAUACAAAGCAGGGGACCGUAUUUUCUGUUCGUAGUAUAUAUGUGUUCGUGAUGGGAGAAAUGGCCUCUCCAUAAUCCUUGCUGUUAUAAAAUCCUCCCUGAAGGUUAUCUAGCAAAUAACCUCACUUCCCCGCCUCCCCCUUCAGCCCCCAUUUCACUUGGGCUCUGUUUAACUGUGAGGGGAAAAUGUGCUGUAGAUGGAUUAGAUUCCUAAAAGCCCUCUGCCAGCUGAAGUGUAUAUUGAUAUGGAACCAGACCUGCUUUUAGAACAGCAGUGCCUCUUUGUUCAAAGCUUACCCUUCUUUAGGGUUGGAGCAGGAGAGGCAGAGAGAGAUGCGCCCGACUGUUGCAGAUGGACCUGAUUGCUCAGGCCUGGUCAAACAUUGCUCAGUGUAAUUGCAUCAGAAACUCUUGGGCUUUUAAGGUAAGGAAUGUCUUCUCCAUGCGCUAAAGCAUGCUAAUGAAUGGUGGUCAUUGAAUCCAGCCUUGUCAGCGAUCCAGGCUGGGAGCAAGGUAACUUGCAGGCACUGGAUUUCACAAGCAAUUAUUUUUUUUCCCCCCUCCCUCAAGUGAUCUAUACUUUGAUAAGUUUUUUAAUGCUGGAGGCAGUACAAAUAGGGCAACUGGAAGCCCGCCAGCUUGAAGAAACUGAGCAGAGAAAUGUACCAGGAAUGGAAUGGACAAACAGGACUAGAAAUCUGAAUUGACCUUUUCUUGCCUUCCUUUGCUUACAAGAAGUUGUUUGCUCUGCAUAGCACAGUGUUCUCUGGUUUACUUUCAGUAACUGGUUUUCCUUUUGCUUAAUCAGACACGCUUGUGGCACGCAGGAAAGGUCAAGCCGUGCCCUAGUAGAUUUUUUUCUUUACCAGUAAACCUCUUGGGAUAAGAUAGAACCAAUGAAAAAGCUUUGUUGGUCAUUUUGGGGAUUUUCUUGAUACCAGAGUCCAACUUUUCCCUGCCCUAUCUUACAAGGGGACUUGAUGGACCAGAAUAGAGUCCAUAAUAUGUCUCUUGAUUCAAAUCAAGUCUGAUAAUAACUGACCAAUGACUGUCCUGUGAGUGAGUUGGGUGUUUAAUUCAAAGUCUCCAUGUCCGAAACCAAUCCUGCCAUGUGCUACAACCCUUUGGAGAUGGGCAGAACUCUUCUGCUGACUCCCUGUGGCAGCCAAGACUAGGUGAGUUCCACCAUCCAUAACCCCAGAGCAAAAGGAUGUUAGGAUCUGAGGCAAAGGGAACUUGGGACGUGGAUGGAGCAGUCCUGGAAAAAAGACCUAUGCAAAGCCAAGCGCAAGAAACUGCUUGCACUGAGGUUUGUUUUGCUGCUUGUAUUCAAGUUUAUCGUGUGGGAUUAGGGGACUGACACCAAGGGUCUCUAAAGGUGACCUCCCCAGGUAUUAUCCCCCAUUGACAAAUAUGAUCUUACAAGCCACUUGCUCAUGUAGUUAUAGAAUCAUAGAAAAUGCGGGUUGGAAGGGACCUCAGGAGGCCAUCUAGUCCAGCCCCCUGCUCAAAGCAGGACCAUCCCCAACUAAAUCAUUCCAGCCAAGGUUUUGUCGAGCCGGGCCUUAAAAACCUCCAAAGGAUGGAGAUUACACCACCUCUCUAAGUAACCCAUGCCAGUGCUUCAUCACCCUCCUAGUGAGAGAAGUUUUUCCUAAUAUCUAGCCUAAACUUCCCUUGCUGAAACUUGAGGCUGUUGUUCCUUGUUCUGUCAUCUGCCACCACUGAGAACAGUCUAGCUCCAUCCUCUUUCAACCCCCUCCCCUUCAGGUAACUGAGGGCUGCUAUCAAAUCCCCUCUCAGCCUUUUCUUCUCUAGACUAAAUAAGCCUGGUUCCCUCGGCCUUGCCUCAGAAGUCAUAUGCCUCAGUCCCCUAACCAUUUCCUUUGCCCUCCACUGGACUCUCUUCAACUUGUCCACGUCCCUUCUGUAAUGGGGGGCCCGAAAAUGGACGCAGUACUCAGGUGUGGCCUUACCAGUGCUGAAUAGAGGGGAAUAAUCACUUCCCUUAAUCUGCUGGCAAUGCUCCUACUAAUGCAGCCCAGGAUGCCAUUAGCCUUCUUGGCAACGAGAGCACACUGCUGACCCAUAUCCAGCAUAUUGUCCACUGCAACCCCCAGGUCCUUUUCUGCAGAACUGUUACAUAGCCAGUCAGUCCCUGGCCUGUACCAGUACAUGGAUUCUUCCAUCCUAAGUGCAGGACUUCACAUUUGUCUUUGUUGAACCUCAUGAGAUUUCUUUUGGCCCAAUCCUUCAAUUUGUCUAGGUCUCUCUGAAUCCUAGCCCUACCCUCUGGUGUCUCUAUUACCCCAGCUUGGUGUCAUCCGCGAACUUGCUGAGGGUGCAAUCCAUCCCAUCUUCCAGAUCCUUAAUGAAGAUAUUGAACAAAAGCGGCCCCUGGGGCACUCCACUUGAUACCGGCUGCCAGCUAGACCUAGAGCCAUUGAUCACUACCCAUUGAUCCCAACAAUCCAGCCAGCUUUCUAUCCACCUUACAGUGCAUUCAUCCGACCCACACUUUGUUAACUUGCUUGCAAGAAUGCUGUGGGAGACUAUCAAAAGCUUUGCUGAAGUCAAGGUAUAUCACAUCUACUGCUUUUCCCGCAUCCACAGAGCCAGUUAUCUUGUCAUAGAAGGCAAUGAGAUUGGUUAGGCAUUACUUACCCUUGGUGAAUUCAUGCUGACUAUUCCUGAUCACUUUCUUUUCUUCCAAGUGCUUAGAAAUGGAUUCCUUGAGGACCUGCUCCAUGAUUUUUACAGGGACUGAGGUGAAGCUGACUGGUCUGUAGCUCUCUGGAUUCCCCUUCUUCCUGUUCUUAAAGAUGGGCACUCUAUUUGCCCUUUUCCAAUUGUCCAGGAAUUCCAACCGAUUGUCACAUGCUUUCAAAGAUAAUGGCCAGAGGCUCUGCAAUCGCAUCAGCCAACUCCCUCGGCACCCUUGGAUGCAUUGCAUCCAGCCCCAUGGACUUGUAUAUGUCCAGACUUUCUAAAUAGUGCCAGACCUGUUUUUUCACAAUUGAGGACCGCUCACCUUUUCCCCAAACUGUGCAUCCCUGUGCAAUAAUCUGGGAGCUGACCUUGCCUGUGAAGACCAAGGUAAAAACUUGGUUGCUUCCCCCAUUCAGUAAGGGACCCACGCUUUCCCUGACCUUCCUCUUGUUGCUGACAUACUUGUAGAGACCCUUCUUGUUGCCCUUCACAUCCCUUACUAGCUGCAACUCCGAUUGUGCUUUGGCCUUCCUGAUUUCAUCCCUGCAUGCCCAAGCAAUAUUCUUAAACUCUUCCCUAGUCUUCUGUCCAAGCUUCCACUUCUUGUAAGCUUCCUUUUUGUGCUUAAGGUCACCAAAAAGUUAUCUGCUAAGCCAAGCUGGUCACCUGCCAUAUUUGCUAUUCUUUCUGCACAUUGGGAUGGUUUGUUCCUGUGCCCUCAGUAAAGUUUCUUUAAACUACAACCAGCUCUCUUGGACUCCUUUCCUUCUCAGACUGGCUUCCCAGGGGAUCCUGCCCAUCAGGUCUCUGAGGGAGUCAAAAUCUGCUUUUCUGAAGUCCAGGGCCCUUACUCUGCUGCUCUCCUUUCUUCCCUUCCUCGGGAUUCUGAAAUCUAUCAUCCCAUGGUCACUGCUGCCUAAGUUGCCAUCCACUCCUAAAUCCCCCACCUGUUUUUCCCUGUUCGUGUGCAGCAGGUCACAAAGAGCACGGCCUCUAGUUGUUCUCUCCAACACGUGCACCAGGAAGUCUUCUCCAAUGCUCUCCAAAAACUUCCUAGAUUGCCUGUGCACUGCUGUGUUACCCUCCCAACAGAUGCCAGGGUGAUUGAAGUCCCCCAUGAGAACCAAGGCCUGUGAUAUGGAAACUUCCAUUAGCUGUUUGAAGAAAGCCUCGUCCACCCUAUCCAAUGGUCUAUAGCAGAUGCCAACCACAACAUCACCCUUGUUGCUCUCCCCUCUAACCCUAGCCUAGAUACUUUCAAUAGGCCUAUCUCCGAUUUCAUACUGGAGCUCUGAGCAGUCAUGCAGCUCUUUAUACAUAAAGUGCAACUCCUCUUCCUCUUCUCCCCUGCCUGUCUUUCCUGAGCAGUUUGUACCUAUCCGUGACAGUGCUCCAGUCAUGCAAGCUCCCACCAUGUCUGUUAUUCCAGUCACAUCAUAGCCCCAUGACUGCAAGGACUUCCUGUUCUUCUUGCUCGUUUCCCAGGCUCUGUGCAUUGGUGUACAGACACCUGAGCUAACUAACUGAUUGCCCUGCUUUCUCAGUAAGAAUAAGGAGGCCUCCUCUGUUGCCCCUCUCCUCUUGUGCUUCUUCCAAGUCGCCCACUUCCCCUUUAGUCACUAGGUUACCGAGCCUGUCUGCGAAGAUGCUCUUCCCUCUCUUCGUCAGGUGGAUCCAACUCUUCCUAGCAAUCUUUCUUCUUGAAACAACAUCCCAUGGUAGAAGAAGCCAAAUCCCUGCUGUUGACACUCCCUGUGCAGCUAUGCAUUGAUAUGGAAGAAGCACCUGCUCCUGCCUGGGCCCUUCCCCUUGACUGGAAGGAUUGAGAGCACCACCUGUGCUCCCAUCCCCUUCACCCUUGCACCCAGAGCCCUGUAGUCACUCUUGAUCUGCUCAGGGUCACCCCGGCAGUAUCAUUAGUGCCCACAAAGAUAUGCAGCAUGGGGUAGUAGUCUGAGGGUUGGACGAAUCGCAGUAAUCCUUCCAUGAUAGCUCAGAUGCUGGCAGCAAGCAGCAGAACUCCUGCUUUCAGACCUCAGCAAGCAGCAGACCUCCCAGGACAACAGGUCAGGCUGGCAGAUAGAUACCUCGGUCACCUGCAAAAGGGAAACUCCAACCACCACCACCAGUUUCUUUCUCUUCGUGGCAGUGGUCUUUACCACUGCAGGAGGACUGAUGACAACUUCUUGCUGCCAGGGGCCACAAGCUUCUGGCUUCUAUCUUCCUGAGGGUCCGUGCCCUUUUCCUUUUCUAGCACCACCUCUGGCAGACCUUCUUCCACAGUCCUGGAGGUUUCCUCCAGCAUGGAAUCUAUGAAGUCCCCAUGGUGGAGGAUGCUUCAGAGCCUUGCUACUUCCUCCUGUAGCUCUCUUGCCUUCUCCCUGGGGGACACAACCAGAAGGCACCACUCACAUUGCAGGCACGCUGCCACCCGGCUGACGCUGGAAGGAACCUGCAAGUCACAGUCUGCACAGUGCCAAACCAGGACCUGGGUGGAAGCCUUGAUGAUGUGCGGUCCUGCCUGGACAGACGCCUCACAGGUGGAAGCAGAGGAAGAGGCUGGAAGUGGCAGUGGCUCUGGGAUUGUAACGUCCUCCAGCCAUCUCCCUGGGUCUUCUAAUCUGCUGCCUCUCACUUCCUGCCUCUCUUCCAGAACAGACCUUCCCUAGCAAACUCCUCUGUAGCUGGCCUGUUUGCUGGUCCUUGAUCCUGAAGGCUUCUUUUUCCUGCAAAUGCCUUUCUUCUCGGCAAGCUUACAGUGAAGGAAUGUGUGAAAGUUUCCAAGAAAACUCCCUCGCAAACUCCCCCUUGCUGUGGACUCUAGUUAAACAAAGGGAUGAAGUAUUGGUCUAGCUGCUGAGUUUUAGUUGCUUAAAAUUACAGCUGUUUGGCAAUUGUUGAUCCUUCUGGAUCAUGAUGUUUGCAUGAGGGGUCACCUAGACCAAGGGUUGUCAACUGCGGGGACGGAGCACUGGCACACACUAUCCCGCACGCCGCGCAGGCACCACCCACCUGGCUGGACACGCGGCAGCUCCUGACGCUCCGCAUCCAGCUGCACGCCACUCUUCCCUCGCCCCCCGCUCGGCAUCCGGGGGUGUGCUGCUCCAUGUCCAGCUGCUGGGGGGUACAAUGAUUCAUAAAGGUUGAAAACCCCUGACCUAGACAUUUGAUGCAUAUGUCUAGGCAGGAGUUUUGGAGGAGUAGAGGCUGCCCAGACCUUUAGGCCACUGAGCAGGAUCCAAAGGCCAGACUGAGUGCAAAGUUUGGUGCCUCCAUGGCUGUAUUUGUAUAAGCAUCCAGGAAUUGAACCCUGGUCCCCUGUGUGGCAGAUAAAGAUGCUACCACUAAACCACGGGGGUCUGUAAUAAAACUAUGUAUAUUGGUCUCAAUUGCACAUAAAAAAAGAAUCUUAUUUUACAGGCUCCCCUUCAAAGACCGGGGCAGCAAACUGACCUGUGAACUGCUUGCAAACUGUCCUGUUUGCUUCUCCCUGGUUGUCUGGAGUGUCUCCUUGUCUACCUCUCCUGGGUCUGGACUGGCUUAGGCCCCUUUGUUAAGGCCUUUUGUCACACCUAGGCAGAAAUCAAUCAGCAAUCAGCCCACUCAGCUGCUCAGAGCACAGACCCAAGCGUAUAAUCUACCAACCAACCCUCAGCAAGCCAACCACACAGGCAACUCUGGCUCGCUCACCUUCCCAGAGCAGGCUCUGGUGCCUUGUCCCUCUUCCCCUUCCUCCUGUUGCUCCCAGCAAACUUCUUGCAAGCUGUCCUGUUUGCUUUUCCUUGUCCAUUGGCCUUAGGAGACUCUUCCCACUUCCCAAUAAGAAACGAGCUUACCCUAUUUCCAUUUCAACACUGGAGAAAGAGUCAGCCUGUUGAGGUAGGUUUGAAUUUGGGAAACUCAAUUCAGACAUCCCUGGGUUCUGGUCCAUCUUAAAAUAUUCUCAGUCACUUUAAAUAAAAGAGGAUCCUGGUCCUUGAGUGUCCUCAAAUAUAAAUGUGCGAUGAAAUCAAGGAGGGAAUUUGGUACAAUGAAUAUAACAUGUCUGUAUAAUCGAAAGAGACUCUAACCCUUAAAAGAAUUUAACUAAAGUGCAGUUCCAAUAUAAUGACCUUUCCCAGACUGAGUCUCUCAAAACUCUGAUGGAAAAUUAAUUUAUUCUAUUUAUUUUUCCCUUCCAAGUUGAAUCUGCUUUUAUUUAAUGCCAGAUAGCAUGAUUGAACUUUCAAUGGGGCUCAUUUAAAAACAAACUUCUAGAAUUGAUUGAAUUGGAGCUGCCUUCCCCACAUGUAGCUAGAUAGAUGCUUGAAUCUGAGUGUCAUCAGCUAAACAACAACAGCAUCACUCAACAGCUCUUGUUACUUUUUGGCUGUAACUUCCACCAUUAUAGAUUUUUAUUUUUUUUAUUUUUUUAACCAACCUAUUUUUUAGAGCUGAGCCUGGUUUGACAGCUCUCAAGAGAAAUCAACUCCUCAAUAAUAGAUCAUAAAUGCCUAACAUGUGCCUCAAACCUUUAAGGCCUGGAGUAACCACUGCCUAUGUCUCUAGAGCCCAGUCAUCUGGGGGCUGGCUUGUUAGAGACAAGGGAGCCUACUGGGAUGGCAGUGGUUCUGCAAGAGGUAGGGGGAAAUGUGGAUGUACACCUGCCUUUGUUAUCCCCUGCUGGGAACCAGGUCAGCUACUGGUAAAAAUCAGAGCAACCCCAGGGCUGCUCUGACUUUUCACUAGCUGGGCAUUAUCAGAGGCACUGCAGCUGUGCCCCUGAGCUACACUAUUUAGGAUAGCUGUAGCUAGUGCCAAGUGUUUAGCUGAGAGUGCAAGCUGAGUGAGAACAGGGGCUUGUUCACACCUAGGUUAAAAUGGCAGCAACUUAGUGGCAGGUUUUGAACUGACCCCAAUGACUAUCAUAUUGCUCCUCCCUCAGACCCCAUGGCACUGUCCAGUGACCUUUAGUAAAAGAGAGGUCAACUCUCUGCAAAGUCCCUCGGCUUUAGAAAAUGACCUUCUAAAACAAACCGCUGCCUUUACGAGGAGACAAAUGAUUUGUUUGGUUUAUGGCAGCUUUCCCUUCUUACUCUAUGCUAUUCUUAACUUUUCCCUUAUGACUCCCUCCCAUAGUUUCCUCUGCUAGUCCGCCUUCAACCGCCCCAUCACAUAGGUAAGGAUUAAGCAGCAAUCUGCUUUAUGUGUAGUCAAGAGAGGAAGAGCCUUGACGUUUUUUUCUAAACAAUAGUCUUAUUAUGCAUCUCUUGUCCAGGUGAAAUAAAAUUCCUUAUUAACUAAA